AACGUCUUGGAAUUAGUAAUAUUACAAAGUUUGGUUGCGAAAUGUUGUAAAAUACGGAAAAUAUAGCCCUUCAAAGUUGGCAAAUUUGUAUACUUUUGUAUUAAGUGGGUGAAUUGGUAACUAAAUUAGUUACUAAUUUCCGCACGUAAUAGAAAUGUAUACAAAUUUGCCAACUUCGCAGGGCUAUAUUUUCCGUAUUUUACAACAUUUCGCAACCAAACUUUGCAGUUUUUCUAAUUUUGAUAAC